rnacentral:rRNA from 1 species
AUUGAACGCUGGCGGAAUGCUUUACACAUGCAAGUCGAACGGUAGAGGGGGCAACCCCUCGAGAGUGGCGAACGGGUGAGUAAUAUAUCGGAACGUGCCCAGUCGUGGGGGAUAACGUAGCGAAAGUUACGCUAAUACCGCAUACGAUCUAAGGAUGAAAGCGGGGGAUCGCAAGACUCCGCGCGAUAGGAGCGGCCGAUAUCAGAUUAGGUAGUUGGUGGGGUAAAGGCUAACCAAGCCAACGAUCUGUAGCUGGUCUGAGAGGACGACCAGCCACACUGGAACUGAGACACGGUCCAGACUCCUACGGGAGGCAGCAGUGGGGAAUUUUGGACAAUGGACGCAAGUCUGAUCCAGCCAUUCCGCGUGCAGGAUGAAGGCCCUCGGGUUGUAAACUGCUUUUGUACGGAACGAAAAGGUCUCUCUUAAUACGGGGGGCUCAUGACGGUACCGUAAGAAUAAGCACCGGCUAACUACGUGCCAGCAGCCGCAGUAA